rnacentral:rRNA from 1 species
CUUGGCGACCAUAGCACUUUGGACCCACCUGAUUUCCAUUCCGAACUCAGAAGUGAAACGAAGUAGCGUCGAUGGUAGU